CUAGACUCUUUUGUCAGUUCGAACUCAGUAGUCCAAAUAUGACUCUUUAAACCUUCAUUUUUUUUAUCAAAAAAUUAUUAUCACACUGAAGACACAUCUUCAGAGGUGCGAAAGAACUCUUUCAAUAUUUGAAAAAUUUUCUCCCACAGAGCAUUAUCGAAUUUACAACUAAAUUCAUAUUCUUUACUGCUCUCAGUAACACCAC
rnacentral:lncRNA from 1 species